rnacentral:hammerhead_ribozyme from 1 species
AUUUAGCUGACGAGUCUCAAACAGAACGGAACACCUGUCCUAGAA